rnacentral:rRNA from 7 species
GAUCCCAUCAGAACUCCGCAGUUAAGCGUGCUUGGGCGAGAGUAGUACUAAGUUGGGUGACCACUUGGGAAGUCCUCGUGUUGCACCCCU